rnacentral:rRNA from 1 species
AUUGAACGCUGGCGGCAGGCCUAACACAUGCAAGUCGAGCGGAUGAAGGGAGCUUGCUCCUGGAUUCAGCGGCGGACGGGUGAGUAAUGCCUAGGAAUCUGCCUGGUAGUGGGGGAUAACGUCCGGAAACGGGCGCUAAUAUCGCAUACGUCCUGAGGGAGAAAGGGGUGGAUCUUCGGACCUCACGCUAUCAGAUGAGCCUAGGUCGGAUUAGCUAGUUGGUGGGGUAAAGGCCUACCAAGGCGACGAUCCGUAACUGGUCUGAGAGGAUGAUCAGUCACACUGGAACUGAGACACGGUCCAGACUCCUACGGGAGGCAGCAGUGGGGAAUAUUGAACAAUGGGCGAAAGCCUGAUCCAGCCAUGCCGCGUGUGUGAUGAAGGUCUUCGGAUUGUAAAGCACUUUAAGUUGGGAGGAAAGGCAGUAAGUUAAUAUCUUGAUGUUUUGACGUUACCAACAGAAUAAGCACCGGCUAACUUCGUG